AGCGAACGCUGGCGGCAGGCCUAACACAUGCAAGUCGAACGAACCCUUCGGGGUUAGUGGCGGAUGGGUGAGUAACACGUGGGAACGUGCCUUUAGGUUCGGAAUAACUCAGGGAAACUUGUGCUAAUACCGAAUGUGCCCUUCGGGGGAAAGAUUUAUCGCCCUUAGAGCGGCCCGCGUCUGAUUAGCUAGUUGGUGAGGUAAUGGCUCACCAAGGCUACGAUCAGUAGCUGGUCUGAGAGGAUGACCAGCCACAUUGGGACUGAGACACGGCCCAAACUCCUACGGGAGGCAGCAGUGGGGAAUCUUGCGCAGUGGGCGAAAGCCUGACGCAGCCAUGCCGCGUGGAUGAUGAAGGUCUUAGGAUUGUAAAAUCCUUUCACCGGUGAAGAUAAUGACUGUAGCCGGAGAAGAAGCCCCGGCUAACUUCGUGCCAGCCGCCGCGGUAACAC
rnacentral:rRNA from 1 species